UACAGAGGGUGCAAGCGUUAAUCGGAAUUACUGGGCGUAAAGCGUGCGUAGACGGUCAUGUAAGUCGGGUGUGAAAGCCCCGGGCUCAACCUGGGAAUGGCAUUGGAAACUGGCGGACUCGAGUGUGGCAGAGGGGGGUGGAAUUCCGCGUGUAGCAGUGAAAUGCGUAGAGAUGCGGAGGAACACCGAUGGCGAAGGCAGCCCCCUGGGCUAACACUGACGCUCAGGCACGAAAGCGUGGGGAGCAAACAGG
rnacentral:rRNA from 1 species